GAUAAACGCUGGCGGCGCACAUAAGACAUGCAAGUCGAACGGACUUAACCAUUAGUUUACUAUUGGAGCGGUUAGUGGCGGACUGGUGAGUAACACGUAAGCAACCUGCCUAUCAGAGGGGAACAACAGUUAGAAAUGACUGCUAAUACCGCAUAUGCCUAAGUACCACAUGGUACAAUAGGGAAAGGAGCAAUCCGCUGAUAGAUGGGCUUGCGUCUGAUUAGAUAGUUGGUGGGGUAACGGCCUACCAAGUCGACGAUCAGUAGCCGGACUGAGAGGUUGAACGGCCACAUUGGGACUGAGACACGGCCCAGACUCCUACGGGAGGCAGCAGUGGGGAAUAUUGCACAAUGGGCGAAAGCCUGAUGCAGCAACGCCGCGUGAGGGAAGACGGCC
rnacentral:rRNA from 1 species